rnacentral:rRNA from 1 species
UACAGAGGUCCCAAGCGUUGUUCGGAUUCACUGGGCGUAAAGGGUGCGUAGGCGGCCUUCUAAGUCGAACGUGAAAUCCCCGGGCUCAACCCGGGAACUGCGUCCGAUACUGGAAGGCUUGAAUCCGGGAGAGGGAUGCGGAAUUCCAGGUGUAGCGGUGAAAUGCGUAGAUAUCUGGAGGAACACCGGUGGCGAAGGCGGCAUCCUGGACCGGCAUUGACGCUGAGGCGCGAAAGCCAGGGGAGCAAACGGG